rnacentral:rRNA from 1 species
UACGUAGGCAGCGAGCGUUGUUCGGAGUUACUGGGCGUAAAGGGUGUGUAGGCGGUUGUUUAAGUUUGGUGUGAAAUCUCCCGGCUCAACUGGGAGGGUGCGCCGAAUACUGAAUGACUUGGAGUGCGGGAGAGGAGAGUGGAAUUCCUGGUGUAGCGGUGAAAUGCGUAGAUAUCAGGAGGAACACCGGUGGUGUAGACGGCUCUCUAGUACGGUACUGACGCUGAGACGCGAAAGCGUGGGGAGCGAACAGG